GACGAACGCUGGCGGCGUGCUUAACACAUGCAAGUCGAACGGGUCUGCCCUGUUUUUUGCGGGGUGGGUCAGUGGCGAACGGGUGAGUAACACGUGAGUAACCUGCCCCUCACUUCUAGAUAACCGCUUGAAAGGGUGGCUAAUACGGGGUGUUCUGGCUGUGCCGCAUGGUGUGGCUGGGAAAGAUUCACUUUUGUGGUGUUUUGGUGGGGGAUGGGCUCGCGGCCUAUCAGCUUGUUGGUGGGGUGAUGGCCUGCCAAGGCUUUGACGGGUAGCCGGCCUGAGAGGGUGGGCGGUCACACUGGGACUGAGAUACGGCCCAGACUCCUGCGGGAGGCAGCAGUGGGGGGUAUUGCACAAUGGGCGGAAGCCUGAUGCAGCGACGUCGCGUGAGGGAUGGAGGCCUUCGGGUUGUGAACCUCUUUCGCCGGUGAAGAAGGUCCUGCUCUUUGUGGUGGGGUUGACGGUAGCCGGGUUAUGAAGCGCCGGCUAACUACGUG
rnacentral:rRNA from 1 species